GGACGCGGCCCGCGCCUGGGCCCGAACGGAGCGCGCAGGUCUCGUGGCGCGGGUAUAUCUGCUUCUAAUGUGGCUGUAAUUACCUUGCUCUUCCAUACCAAAAUAUCUUUUGAGGUGCUGUUUUUCAACCCUAAACUUUCGACCAAGAAUGAAACUAUUUAGAAGUUAAGAUGACAACAGAUCACGAAGAGCCCUGUGGUCCUAGUCACAGGUCAUUCUGCCUGAAUGGAGGACUUUGUUAUGUGAUACCUACUAUUCCCAGCCCAUUUUGUAGAUGCAUUGAAAAUUAUACAGGAGCUCGUUGUGAAGAGGUUUUUCUCCCAAGCUCCAGUAUCCAGACUAAAAGUGAUCUGUUCGCAGCUUUCGUGGCAUUGAUUGUUCUUCUAGGAACUCUUAUCCUUGGAGCCCUCUACUUCCUCUGCAGGAAGGGCCAUCUUCAGAGGGCCAGCUCGGUCCAGUAUGAUAUCAACUUGGUAGAGACAAGCAGUACCAGUGUCCACCACAGUCAUGGAGAACAUUGAAGAAAUAACACAGUGAAGCCAAAUCAUUGCUUCUUUGUUACAAAGGCAGAGAGUGAAACUCUAAAAGGAUUUUCAUAAAGCAAGACUCAUAAACUGUUUCUACAAGUGAAAACCAAGUCAGUCAUCUAAAAAUCUCAAUUUCAAAUCAAGAGGAUUUAGCGUCUUCUGUUUUUAUUAGAAUGGAAUUUAUGGUGGUGUUUAAAUGACAGAAGUAGAUUUAAUUACUUUCUCAAACAUUUCUGUAGAAUGCAUAGGAAACCAUCAGGUUUGUGAAAGUUUAUUUUACAUUCUUUCAUGUUCAUUGUGUUAAAUUUGCAGUACAAGUCAGUGGCAAAACCUUUGCUGUUUGGCUUCUCUUACUAGAUUGAAAAGUGGUUGUAUUUACCAAUGGCCCAGGUUUGAAUAAAGUUGAUAAUUACAGCAGUGAGCUGGCCUUCCCCCUUCAUUAGUCUAGGUCACAGGCUAUUAACUGUAACAAUGUGUGGAAUGUCUGUUUCCACAUCUUAAUCCUAUGCUUCCCUCCUCUUCCUUACAUUGUUCCUUAGCUUUUCAAGGAGUUUAUUCCUUAAAGCAGCCUUUAACAAGUCAAAUUGUAGCUGCAGAAAGAUUCUGCUUUGAAAGCACAUAAGAAAGCAUUUUUUAAACAUUUUGAUUGAAUAAACAAUCCUGUCAACCCUGUCACUUGACAGAAGGCAAUUCAGUAUGUAAGCCUUUCAAAAACAGCUAAAUACUAAUAUUCAGAAAUUAAAAAUUCUAUUGCAAUCAAACUUUUCUUUGGACUUUCUUCAGGAACUAAUAUUGAGGAUAAUCAUAAUUUAAAGAAACGUUAAAGUAUUUUCAUCAUUCAUGUAAAUAAACAGCAGAAAGAAAAUCUUUUGGAGUAAAAAUUGGUUUAACAAAUUAUUAAAAACAGAAAAGUGUGAAUGAAUGUUCAUAUAUUUUAAUUUCACUUACCUUGCAAGUUUC